UACGUAGGGGGCUAGCGUUAUCCGGAUUUACUGGGCGUAAAGGGUGCGUAGGUGGUUUCUUAAGUCAGGAGUGAAAGGCUACGGCUCAACCGUAGUAAGCUCUUGAAACUGGGAAACUUGAGUGCAGGAGAGGAAAGUGGAAUUCCUAGUGUAGCGGUGAAGUGCGUAGAUAUUAGGAGGAACACCAGUAGCGAAGGCGGCUUUCUGGACUGUAACUGACACUGAGGCACGAAAGCGUGGGGAGCAAACAGG
rnacentral:rRNA from 1 species